GGCACUUUCAGCAAGCAGGUGUAGCCAACAGAAAAGGAUCUCUGUUGCUGCCCAAGGUCAGCUGACACUUGAUACGGAUUAUGGUGUUGAUUGAUGCAGUCCUUCGAGCCGGUGGCGACAGGAACAACACGGACACCAAGUCGGGUUCACACAACAGCUUCUUUACUUCUGGGUUUUCCCCCUACAGCUUUCUUCCCCAGCAGCUUCUACUAUCUACUACCUCCGUCCUUCUUGCAGCAAGGGCUAAACUCCUAUCCUCCUCCGACUGACCUCAUCUCUCUCCACCCCACCUCAUCCAAUCAGAAUUCACACACACACACACACACACACACACACACACACACACACACACACACAUGCUCCAGGCACGAGCUCAGGUCAGUCACCGAUAGGCUGACAGGUCCGGAUCACGAGGAACAGUCCAGCCUGGCAGGCAGCCCACACAUGCAGCCUCACUGCGCAUGCUCAGGGAAGGCAGUAAACAUCUUGGCCCAUGUGGCUGCAUCCACUUCUUGCAGUUGAUUAAGGCAUUUGGGUUGACUAGAAGUUAUUCCCAUUCAUAGCUUUCACAUUGUCUCUUUAGUAUGACUUCUCUAUUAAAAAUGCCAACCUUUCAAUGGAUAUUACAUAUUUAAGGUUCCUCAAUUCUACUAAUUCUCCCAUGAUGUGAGGCCUGCCUUACAUCUUUGAUUCCAUGUGUUACCUGUAUGUAU
rnacentral:lncRNA from 1 species